rnacentral:rRNA from 1 species
UACGUAGGGUGCAAGCGUUGUCCGGAAUUAUUGGGCGUAAAGAGCUUGUAGGCGGUUUGUCGCGUCUGCUGUGAAAUUUCGGGGCUCAACCCCGAACUUGCAGUGGGUACGGGCAGACUAGAGUGUGGUAGGGGAGACUGGAAUUCCUGGUGUAGCGGUGAAAUGCGCAGAUAUCGUAAGGAAGACCAGUGGCGAAGGCGGGUCUCUGGACAGUUCCUGACACUGAGACACGAAGGCCAGGGGAGCAAACGGG